rnacentral:rRNA from 1 species
UACGUAGGGGGCAAGCGUUGUCCGGAAUCAUUGGGCGUAAAGAGCGUGUAGGCGGCCCGAUAAGUCCGCUGUGAAAGUCCAGGGCUCAACCCUGGGAUGCCGGUGGAUACUGUCGGGCUCGAGUCCGGAAGAGGAGUGUGGAAUUCCUGGUGUAGCGGUGAAAUGCGUAGAUAUCUGGAGGAACACCGGUGGCGAAGGCGGCAUCCUGGACCGAGAUCGACGCUGAGGCGCGAAAGCUAGGGGAGCAAACGGG